GAACGCUGGCGGCGUGCUUAACACAUGCAAGUCGAACGGAACUCCUAUGAACGAGGUUUCGGCCAAGUGAAUAGGAUGUUUAGUGGCGGACGGGUGAGUAACGCGUGAGUAACCUGCCUUGGAGUGGGGAAUAACACAGUGAAAAAUUGUGCUAAUACCGCAUAAUGCAUUUGGAUCGCAUGAUUCUGAAUGCCAAAGACUUAUCGCUCUGAGAUGGACUCGCGUCUGAUUAGCUAGUUGGCGGGGCAACGGCCCACCAAGGCGACGAUCAGUAGCCGGACUGAGAGGUUGGCCGGCCACAUUGGGACUGAGACACGGCCCAGACUCCUACGGGAGGCAGCAGUGGGGAAUAUUGGGCAAUGGGCGCAAGCCUGACCCAGCAACGCCGCGUGAAGGAAGAAGGCUUUCGGGUUGUAAACUUCUUUUGUCAGGGACGAAGCAAGUGACGGUACCUGACGAAUAAGCCACGGCUAACUACGUG
rnacentral:rRNA from 1 species